rnacentral:rRNA from 1 species
CGUUAUCCGGAAUUAUUGGGCGUAAAGAGCUCGUAGGCGGUUUGUCGCGUCUGCCGUGAAAGUCCGGGGCUCAACUCCGGAUCUGCGGUGGGUACGGGCAGACUAGAGUGAUGUAGGGGAGACUGGAAUUCCUGGUGUAGCGGUGAAAUGCGCAGAUAUCAGGAGGAACACCGAUGGCGAAGGCAGGUCUCUGGGCAGUAACUGACGCUGAGGAGCGAAAGCAUGGGGAGCGAACAGG